UGCGCUAGAGGUCGCAAUCCGAGCUGAAAAGCUUAGCUCGAAAAUGCUUUGGGAUCCCCUGGAAUAUAUGUGAAAAUUCGUCAGCCUUCAGACCUAAGUUCUCCGGAGGGGCACCUGGACCAGCACUAACUGCUGCAAAGAGAGGAAAUCUUCCUGGAACAGGAAGUGCAUGCUUUGGAAUGGAAGUACAAAAUUUCAAAGAUUAUCUUCAAGUGAAUACACAGAAGUACUACAUCUACAAUGAAUGGACAUUGGAAGCAAGAUCAGUUGACACAGGAAGACCACAGAGAUGCUGUUUACCAUUGUAGGUAAGAAGACUUGUGCAGUCAAAGCUCAAUUAGAAUUCAAGCUGACCCAAAAUCAAAUCUUCCUUGAGAAACCCCUACACUUUCCCCAAAACUCCCUUCUUCCCCAGUUUGUAAACCCUGGGUUCGGUUUGCUUUUGCAGGCAGUUCGAGUACACAAAACCCCCAUCUUAGUGA